GACUGUGCAAAGGUAGCAUAAUCAGUUGGCUUAUAAUUGAAGUCUAGAAUGAACGAAUAAAUGGGUAGAAACUGUCUUAAUAUAUUAUUAGAAAUUUAAUAUGCAAGUGAAAAUACUUGCUUACGUACAAAAGACGAGAAGACCCUAGAAACUUGUACGAAUUUUUGUUGGGGCGACAUGAUUACAAUUAACUAAUCUUAUUUCACGUGACGUAUAUCAGACAGACUAAGUUACUCUAGGGAUAACAGCAUAAUUUUAACAGUUUGUGACCUCGAUGUUGGACUAGGUACAUAACUCUUUAGAAGAGAGUCAAUAUGCUCUGUUCGAGCAAGAAAACCUACAUGAUCUGAGUUCAAAC
rnacentral:rRNA from 1 species